rnacentral:tRNA from 1 species
AAUGAGUUGCCUGAUAAAAGGAUUACCUUGAUAGGGUAAAUUAUGUGAAUUUAACAUUCACAUUCAUUA